UCCAGGUCAAGCACACUCUGCUAUGAGCGUCUGGAUAACUAAUGACUUUGUGCAUGUUUAUGACUUAUAAUAAGAUAAAACCAGUUACACUUUAAAAGGCGAGACUUGGGGCUUUCUUCAAGAUCAGACACUAGGGGUUCAUCGAUGCCCGGGCGCCACUACGGACCUCCAAAUCUCCCCACACCGCACUCAAUAAUCCAUCCAUCCAUCCAUCCAAUUCAUUAUUGUCCAAUAAAUCUUCUAAAACGUA